rnacentral:misc_RNA from 1 species
UUUCCGUAGGUGAACCUGCGGAAGGAUCAUUAAUGAAAAUUAUAAAAAAACGCCAAAGUGAAAUGUGCACGUGUGUUUUUUCAAUCUCUUUUUUUCAUUUUUUUUUGAUUUGAUUCUUUUUUUUUUAUAUAAAAAAAAAAAAGAGGAAAGAAUUAAAGUGAAAAAAAAAAAAGAUAUGAAAAAAUUAAAAAACUUUUAAAACCCUUUAUAAAAUAAAAUAUAAUUUUUAAAUUAUUAUUGUUUUUUUUUUUUUUCACAUAACUUUUAUCAAUUGAAAAAAAAGAGAGACGUAAAAAUUAAAAUGAAAAAAAAAACUUUUAACAACGGAUCUCUUGGCUCUC